AUUGAACGCUGGCGGCAUGCCUUACACAUGCAAGUCGAACGGUAACAGGUCUUCGGAUGCUGACGAGUGGCGAACGGGUGAGUAAUACAUCGGAACGUGCCCGAGAGUGGGGGAUAACGAAGCGAAAGCUUUGCUAAUACCGCAUACGAUCUCAGGAUGAAAGCAGGGGUCCUCAAGGCCUUGCGCUCACGUAGCGGCCGAUGGCAGAUUAGGUAGUUGGUGGGAUCAAAGCGUACCAAGCCGACGAUCUGUAGCUGGUCUGAGAGGACGACCAGGCACACUGGGACUGAGAAACGGCCCAGACUCCUACGGGAGGCAGAAGUGGGGAAUUUUGGACAAUGGGCGCAAGCCUGAUCCAGCCAUGCCGCGUGCAGGAUGAAGUCCUUCGGGUUGUAAACUGCUUUUGUACGGAACGAAAAGACUCCUUCUAAUAAAGGGGGUCCAUGACGGUACCGUAAGAAUAAGCACCGGCUAACUACGUGCCAGCAGCCGCCGUAAUAC
rnacentral:rRNA from 1 species